CCUACGGGUGGCAGCAGUGGGGAAUAUUGCACAAUGGGCGAAACCCUGAUGCAGCGACGCCGCGUGAGUGAAGAAGUCUCUCUGUAUGUUAAGCUCUAUUAGCAGGGAAGUAAAAAGACGGUACCUGACUUAGAAGCCCCGGUUAACUACGUGCCAGUCGCCGCGGUAAUACGGAGGGGGCAAGCGUUAUCCGGAUUUACUGGGUGUAAAGGGAGCGUAGACGGCGCGGCAAGUCUGAGGUGAAAGGCAGGGGCUGAACCCCGGAACUGCUUUGGAAACUGCUAUGCUAGAGUGCUGGAGCGGUAGGUGGAAUGCCUGGUGUAGCGGUGAAAUGCGUAGAGAUUAGAAAGAACACCAGUGGCGAAGGCAGCUUACUGAACAAUAACUGACGUUGAGGCUCGAAAGCGUGGGGAGCAAACAGGAUUAGAUACCCUAGUAGUC
rnacentral:rRNA from 1 species